GGAGAGAUCGAGGGGCUUGGCAGAGAACCAAGCUCCUUGCUCAGUCAGCGUGAGUCACACAGACCAGAGCUUCUCUGGAGAUCAGAUGGAAGCUGGGGGAAGGGUGACCAGAGUGAGAGCAGGUGUGCAGGGCGAGGCUGAGCUGGGUGUGUGUGUCUGUUCACUGUGUAGUCGCCAAGCUGCUGAACGUGAAAUCAUAACAGAUCACCCAUCCUGAGAAGCGAACUACGCAGUUGUAAGACCCCAGCAAAACCGACAGCAUGGUUUAUAAAUUAUUCUGGAUCAUUGGCCGCCACUCAUCCGUAAUCCUUUCAUCCCACAAGCCCUGGCUGCAUGAUUUUUGAUGUCUUCAUCGGAUGGUAAUUUCGCAUCAUCAUUUACUACAGAGAGGAUUAAAAGAUAACUCCAUCUUUCUGGUGUG